rnacentral:rRNA from 1 species
AUUGAACGCUGGCGGCAGGCCUAACACAUGCAAGUCGAACGAGUGGCGGACGGGUGAGUAAUGUCUGGGAAACUGCCUGAUGGAGGGGGAUAACUACUGGAAACGGUAGCUAAUACCGCAUACCAUCGGAUGUGCCCAGAUGGGAUUAGCUAGUUGGUGGGGUAAAGGCUCACCAAGGCAACGAUCCGUAGCUGGUUUGAGAGGAUGACCAGCCACACUGGGACUGAGACACGGCCCAGACUCCUACGGGAGGCAGCAGUGGGGAAUAUUGCACAAUGGGGGCAAGCCUGAUGCAGCCAUCCCGCGUGUAUGAAGAAGGCCUUCGGGUUGUAAAGUACUUUUAGCAGGGAGGCGUUACCUGCAGAAUAAGCACCGGCUAACUACGUGCCAGCAGCCGCGGUAAUUC